rnacentral:rRNA from 4 species
AGAGUUUGAUCAUGGCUCAGAUUGAACGCUGGCGGCAGGCCUAACACAUGCAAGUCGAACGGUAGCACAGAGAGCUUGCUCUCGGGUGACGAGUGGCGGACGGGUGAGUAAUGUCUGGGAAACUGCCUGAUGGAGGGGGAUAACUACUGGAAACGGUAGCUAAUACCGCAUAACGUCGCAAGACCAAAGAGGGGGACCUUCGGGCCUCUUGCCAUCAGAUGUGCCCAGAUGGGAUUAGCUAGUAGGUGGGGUAACGGCUCACCUAGGCGACGAUCCCUAGCUGGUCUGAGAGGAUGACCAGCCACACUGGAACUGAGACACGGUCCAGACUCCUACGGGAGGCAGCAGUGGGGAAUAUUGCACAAUGGGCGCAAGCCUGAUGCAGCCAUGCCGCGUGUAUGAAGAAGGCCUUCGGGUUGUAAAGUACUUUCAGCGGGGAGGAAGGUGUUGUGGUUAAUAACCACAGCAAUUGACGUUACCCGCAGAAGAAGCACCGGCUAACUCCGUGCCAGCAGCCGCGGUAAUACGGAGGGUGCAAGCGUUAAUCGGAAUUACUGGGCGUAAAGCGCACGCAGGCGGUCUGUCAAGUCGGAUGUGAAAUCCCCGGGCUCAACCUGGGAACUGCAUUCGAAACUGGCAGGCUAGAGUCUUGUAGAGGGGGGUAGAAUUCCAGGUGUAGCGGUGAAAUGCGUAGAGAUCUGGAGGAAUACCGGUGGCGAAGGCGGCCCCCUGGACAAAGACUGACGCUCAGGUGCGAAAGCGUGGGGAGCAAACAGGAUUAGAUACCCUGGUAGUCCACGCCGUAAACGAUGUCGACUUGGAGGUUGUGCCCUUGAGGCGUGGCUUCCGGAGCUAACGCGUUAAGUCGACCGCCUGGGGAGUACGGCCGCAAGGUUAAAACUCAAAUGAAUUGACGGGGGCCCGCACAAGCGGUGGAGCAUGUGGUUUAAUUCGAUGCAACGCGAAGAACCUUACCUACUCUUGACAUCCAGAGAACUUUCCAGAGAUGGAUUGGUGCCUUCGGGAACUCUGAGACAGGUGCUGCAUGGCUGUCGUCAGCUCGUGUUGUGAAAUGUUGGGUUAAGUCCCGCAACGAGCGCAACCCUUAUCCUUUGUUGCCAGCGGUCCGGCCGGGAACUCAAAGGAGACUGCCAGUGAUAAACUGGAGGAAGGUGGGGAUGACGUCAAGUCAUCAUGGCCCUUACGAGUAGGGCUACACACGUGCUACAAUGGCGCAUACAAAGAGAAGCGACCUCGCGAGAGCAAGCGGACCUCAUAAAGUGCGUCGUAGUCCGGAUUGGAGUCUGCAACUCGACUCCAUGAAGUCGGAAUCGCUAGUAAUCGUAGAUCAGAAUGCUACGGUGAAUACGUUCCCGGGCCUUGUACACACCGCCCGUCACACCAUGGGAGUGGGUUGCAAAAGAAGUAGGUAGCUUAACCUUCGGGAGGGCGCUUACCACUUUGUGAUUCAUGACUGGGGUGAAGUCGUAACAAGGUAACCGUAGGGGAACCUGCGGUUGGAUCACCU